rnacentral:rRNA from 1 species
UCCAUCCGGUGGCAACACUGGUGAAGACCGAGUGGCGAACGGGUGAGUAACACGUGAGCAACCUGCCCCGAAGACCGGGAUAACCCCGGGAAACCGAAGCUAAUACCGGAUGUCCCCACCGGGUCGUAUGGCCUGGCGAGGAAAUGGAUUCCGCUUCGGGAGGGGCUCGCGGCCUAUCAGCUUGUUGGUGGGGUAACGGCCCACCAAGGCUUCGACGGGUAGCUGGUCUGAGAGGACGAUCAGCCACACUGGGACUGAGACACGGCCCAGACUCCUACGGGAGGCAGCAGUGGGGAAUCUUGCGCAAUGGGCGAAAGCCUGACGCAGCAACGCCGCGUGAGGGACGAAGGCCUUCUGGG